rnacentral:tRNA from 1 species
ACUUAAAUAAUUUAAUAAAAAUACUGAUUUGUGGAGUCAGAAAUAUGAGUAAAUCAUUUUAAGUU